ACAAGUCUUACUGAGGAGCAAAGACAGUUGAAGACAUUUUGUUGCCUGAGGCAAUGGAGACAAUUGGUGUCUCCUCUCACUUCAUGUAAUAGAAGUUGACCAGACUGGCAGAUACAAAAAAUCUGUGUGUCCAGAAGCAAGCAUCACCUAAUGAAAAGGCAAUGAAAAGGGGGCUAGAAGAAAUGCUGAAGGAGCCAUCCUUUGUGUUCCAUAAUUUAGAGCAAUGCACCAUGGAAGGACAGAGAAGAAGGCCUUCUGCAUGGGCAGCUACCAGAAGAUGCAUUGUAUCAAGGAGGUGUAAUGCCCUGUCACUGUUGC